ACGUAAUUUAAGCAAUUCGAUGAGUAACUACUGGAGGGCAAGUCCUGGUGCCAGCAGCCGCGGUAAUUCCAGCUCCAGUGGCGUGAUUUAAAGUUGCUGCGUUUAAAACGCUCGUAGUUGGAUCAAGCGGUGGCAGUAUGUAGUCUGUGGUUGGCAUUUGGCUGCUUCAGUCGAUGUCAACCAUGGAUAAAAACGCAAACUGUCACUAUUUAAUCGCAAUUAUGUUGGUUGGCCUUUAGUGAGUUGACCAUCAUACUUUGCGGAGUUGUGCCUUGAAUAAAACAGAGUGCUCAAAGCAGGCGAACGCUUGAAUGUUGUAGCAUGGAACGAACAAACGUGUAUACGCAUACAUCGUGCGAAGUGAAUGUGCUUCUGGUGCGUUUGCUUUGCUGGUGUGUGCAUCACCCGCCAAAGUACGAUUGUUGGUUAUCGUAUCAGGUGAUGAUUAAAAGGAGCGGUUGGGGGCAUUGGUAUUUGGACGCGAGAGGUGAAAUUCAAAGACCGUCCAAGGACUAACAAAUGCGAAGGCAUCUGUCCAGACCGUAUCCAUUAAUCAAGAACGAAAGUGGGAGGUUCGAAGACGAUUAGAUACCGUCGUAGUUCCCACCGUAAACUAUGCCGACUAGGGAUCAGCUUGGUGAUGAUACAAGCAUCAAGUUGGUCUCCAAGGGAAACCAUAAGUUUUUCGGUUACGGGGAGAGUAUGGUCGCAAGGCUGAAAUUUAAAGGAAUUGACGGAAGGGCACCACCAGGGGUGGAACCUGCGACUUAAUUUGACUCA
rnacentral:rRNA from 1 species